rnacentral:rRNA from 1 species
GUGCUUUGCGGCACGAGUUGUAGAUUGCAGGUUGGAGUCUGUGUGGAAGGCGGUGUCCAAGUCCCUUGGAACAGGGCGCCCAGGAGGGUGAGAGCCCCGUGGGAUGCCGGCGGAAGCAGUGAGGCCCUUCUGACGAGUCGAGUUGUUUGGGAAUGCAGCUCCAAGCGGGUGGUAAAUUCCAUCUAAGGCUAAAUACUGGCGAGAGACCGAUAGCGAACAAGUACUGUGAAGGAAAGAUGAAAAGCACUUUGAAAAGAGAGUGAAACAGCACGUGAAAUUGUUGAAAGGGAAGGGUAUUGCGCCCGACAUGGGGAUUGCGCACCGCUGCCUCUCGUGGGCGGCGCUCUGGGCUUUCCCUGGGCCAGCAUCGGUUCUUGCUGCAGGAGAAGGGGUUCUGGAACGUGGCUCUUCGGAGUGUUAUAGCCAGGGCCAGAUGCUGCGUGCGGGGACCGAGGACUGCGGCCGUGUAGGUCACGGAUGCUGGCAGAACGGCGCAACACCGCCCGUCUUG